AUGACGUUCGCCGCCUCGGCCUCUGGUGACGUCAUCGUCGCCGCUAACUACGCCGGUUGCGGCCGGACCCUGAUCUAUGAUGCCGCCGCCGGCGGCGUCUCGCCCGGGCCGGAGAUGCGCUCCGUCAAGAACUACCUGUUCCUUGUCCCGGUCGGCGACCGCACGUUCUUUGCCAUGUCCGCCUACUCGCGCCUGGACGUCCCCAAGGGGGGGCCCUGGUUCGAGGUUCUGCAGCAGCAGCUCCUCCCCGGCGGCGGCGGCGGCGGCGGCCGUUGGGCCUGGAGCGCCGUUCCUGACCCGCCCGGCCUCCCUCGUGGCCAGAGGGAGGACGUCCGGGCCUACUUCGUCGCGGGCGCGCGCGUCUGGAUCUCGCUGCGCCUCCAGGGUACCUAUUCCUUCGACACGGCGCGCCAGCGUUGGCGCAAGGAGGGCGCCUGGAUGCUGCCCGUCCUGGGUCGGGCCGUCCUGGUGCCUGAUUUUCUGGGCAGCGGCCGGCGGCUGCUCUUCGGCAUCCGUUCUAUGAGGGAUCACCAAUUCUGCGCCGUCGACAUGGACGCCAGGCCGCCGACGGUCCUCAGGUCCUGGCCUGAGGCAUUGCCCACCAUCGGGUGGGCCGCCGGAUAUAAAAGGUGCUCCUUCCUCCCCCAGGUGACCUACUUUGGGGGCGGCAGGUUUUGCGUUUCGGUGACGAAUCAGACCAACGAGGAGAAUCCACUCAGCGUCGCCUCCUUCAAGGCCGUCGAGCUCACCGCCGACCUACAGCUGAUCGAACGCCGGUCCAGCUACUACUUGAUGCCACAAAGCUCACGCGGGUCGCCGGUUACAGUAAUUUAG
rnacentral:rRNA from 1 species